AGGAUAAAAACUGGGGGGUGUUAGAAGUUAAUUACUUAGAUGGUCGUCGCAAGAUUGACAAUUUAAGUGAAAAACGGACAAAACCAACUCCGGAUCAAUAAACUGAGAUCGUCCACAACUUUCGAGUUGGAUCGCAGUUAAAGGUGAA
rfam:Marine metagenome 1092343397774, whole genome shotgun sequence.